CUGAGCGAGGCUCACCACCAGAAAGUAACCAAGUACUCUCUGCCGGAGGUCAUUGACCAGGUCCGGGGGAGCCGUGCAAAGGAUCCCCUGGUUUCCAGUGUGACCCUGUCCUACAGGGGUGUGUGGGCAGCCGAGAGCGCUGCGGUCUGAAGGACCUUGGUCUGAACCGUCAGGACCUCAAAAUUAUAACUAUAAAGACCUUACAGGGUGGUCUGGUGUGCUUCCGAACUCAUCAGCGGAUGACCACUGUGGUGUUCCCACGGGCGAUGGCGCGUUCGGCGCAGUGACGGUGCCCCUCUCUACUAACCCCAUUUUACUGGGCGUUGAGGUUCCUCUCCCCAACCAUCUCGAGAGGUAUUAUACCUUUUUGCCCUUUGUUUUGUCGGGUGCGGGGGGGUUCCCGCGCUUACCUGGAGAGGGCGUAACUCGGUCCCCCUAAACCUUUUUUCAUCGUGGGUCGGGUUGGGUUCCGGUUGAGUCCCUAGUCGGGUGGUUAAAUCUCCCGAACUGGGGGCUGGAGCGGCCGGUUCGCUCCCCAAUGGGUUCAGGCCACAGUGCCCUUCGGUCGCCCGACGAUGAGGGAGUAAAAGUUUAAAAAAAAAUAGCCAAAUGCCUCGUCAUCUAAUUAGUGACGUGCAUGAAUGGAUUAACGAGAUUCCCACUGUCCCUAUCUACU
rnacentral:ncRNA from 1 species